GAUGAACGCUGGCGGCGUGCCUAAUACAUGCAAGUCGAGCGAACAGACGAGGUGCUUGCUCCUCUGACGUUAGCGGCGGACGGGUGAGUAACACGUGGAUAACCUACCUAUAAGACUGGGAUAACUUCGGGAAACCGGAGCUAAUACCGGAUAAUAUAUUGAACCGCAUGGUUCAAUAGUGAAAGACGGUUUUGCUGUCACUUAUAGAUGGAUCCGCACCGCAUUAGCUAGUUGGUAAGGUAACGGCUUACCAAGGCAACGAUGCGUAGCCGACCUGAGAGGGUGAUCGGCCACACUGGAACUGAGACACGGUCCAGACUCCUACGGGAGGCAGCAGUAGGGAAUCUUCCGCAAUGGGCGAAAGCUUGACGGAGCAACGCCGCGUGAGUGAUGAAGGUCUUCGGAUCGUAAAACUCUGUUAUUAGGGAAGAACAAAUGUGUAAGUAACUAUGCACGUCUUGACGGUACCUAAUCAGAAAGCCACGGCUAACUACGUG
rnacentral:rRNA from 1 species